CUCAGCCCCUCUCCCCUCGCUGGGCCCACGGCCCUUGGGGGUAGAAGCCCUGAGGGAUGCUAGGUGGGCCCGCGGCAGGGGGGAGGGCCGGGGUCCCGGCCACCCCCGGGAGGCGGGGGGAGGGGCGGCGGGAUUGACAGUCGGUAAUUGGGUAACUGGAGGCCGCUUCUCCGGCCCGGCAGCCCCGCCACCGCGACGCCGGGCCCCUGACGUCACCCGAUUCGCCAGGAAAUGAACUUUUUAAUAAUCUGAGGAGGGAGGAAAGCCCUCGGUCCCCUCGGCUCGGGGGGCACCAGGCCAGGCCGGGCUCCGCCAGCAUGCCCCCGUCACCCCCUCCAAGGCCAGCUCUGGCAGCGCCACGGGAGCCUUCCCCUGCCUCGGCGUCCCGCCGGCCCUUUCUGUCCGAGGCCCUGGCGCAGGUAAAGGAGAGGGGGGGACAGUGGUGCAGAGGCCUGGGCCGAGGGAACCCGAGCGUCUCUGGCCCUUGGGAACCCGUCUGCCCUGGCCGCUGGCCGCGCCUCCCGCUCCGGGGCGCGCGGGGCCCUGGCUUCUCGGAACUCCGCUCCGCGGGAGAGGAGGCCGGCGCUCGCCGGGUAAGACGCACCGGAGCCGGGAGCGAGAGCUCGAGGCCCUGAGCGCCGAGCCUCGGCUGCCGGCCCAGGCAGGUGAGUGGCCUCGGCGCCUCCCGGCUCGCGCGCCCGAAACGGGCGCGGCCUGGCCCGGACCCGCGGUCUCUCCGUACGUCUGUUUCUGCUCCCUGCCUGUAGCUUACGACUCAUCAACGCGUAAAACGCGAUCGCAGCGAAACCUCCAGCCUGUCUUGCCGCCUCAGAGCCCAGCAGGGGCUUCUCAAAGACAACGCGGCACCGGGGACAAUCCCCGGUGUCCGGCAAGGCCGCCCCAUGGAGUUCAAAGUCGGGGAUGGAGCGCGGGAGGCCCCGGACUCGCAGGCCGGCCGCCAGGCGGUGAACGCCGGAGCCGAGCGGAAGCUUACCGCCGACCGCGAUCCCAGCGUCGGUUCGCGGGGAGACGGUCGUUCCGAGCUUUCAGGAGAGCAGGGAUUGUUGCGAAUGCGGGUCGCUGCCCUUUGGUCUCACUGAAGCUGUUCCUUUCCUUACAUGGGAACAAGAUUUUACAAAGGACUGGGGAAGGGCAGCAGCGAAAACUGAGUUUUCUAACGACCUUUUCCAAAUGACUGGAGACUUUCCGGUGGAGUGUGGCUCAGCGGUGUCUGGGUGCUUUCGCAGGGAGCUGGGAGUGCAGACAUCCAGAGCCUCAGCCCCGCGCCCAGCUGCCCAGGGCUCCCCCAUCCUGGGCAAGCCUCCUCCCCGCCCUUUGUUUCAACUUCGCUCCCCUCAGGGACUGUAAGUUCGCCCUCUCUUUGUAAUCUCUCUUCUCACCUUUCCCCAUGGGCAUCUAAUUGGCCAGCAGUGCAGGGCGCUCAAAGAAAUCCAUUUGCUUAGUGGCUGCCUUCCAUAGAGAUAUUUAAUUUGCCACCCAGUAGCCCCCCAGCUCCACUCCUGCAGUGUGACUUGAGGGGUCCUGAGGAGGAGUAGGGGACUGCUCUGGCCAGAGGGGUUCAGAAGUCUCUAAGGCAAGGCCUGAGAUCGGGCCUCAGCCAUCCUCCAGAGGGGCACCCCCGUGCGUGCGGAGCCCCUGCUCUUUGAAGCUCACUCCCAGCCCCGUAAACUCCGACACUCCCUCUCCUCCUGCCUCCCUGCUGCUUCUCUCACUCCCUGCAUGUUCUGGGCCUUUUUGAAUCGUAAACACCAGGGCCCAACAUUCGACGUGUGUCUGCACCCUGGGCCCAGGCUCCCGGGAGAUCUUGGGAGGUUCUACCCGCCACCUCCAAGCCCGACAGCGUGGAGCCCUGCUGAGACCUGCAGACAGUCGAGCGUGGUGCCCCCUCCUCUGCGAACGGCCACGGUUUGCUCUGAGGCCUGGCGGCCCUGCAGCCCGGCGAUAGGACAACGGGUAAAUCCGUUUCGUUAGAUGCAAUUUGUCUGCAAUUUGUCAACCCGGCUGGGAAACGCGCCCCAGACGCCCGGGCCGCCGCUGGCCCUUCCUGCUUCUUGGAUCCUGCCUACUCAUGAACGAAUCCCAGCGUGAAGAGCCUGCAUAGACCAGAGCUCACGGCCAGAUGUCCCCGACCCCCGGAGACCUGGCUUUUUCCAAAACAACGAAUUUCCUUCCGUGUUUUCCGGGAAAGGAGCGGCUGCAGCAUCCGGGGGCCCUGAAUGCCAGACCUUUCCCCUCGCGGUUGGGGCAACCUGGAGUUCAAGCCUGACCUCUGCGGAACGAUUCUAAAUGCCCUGGGUGUAGACAAACCCAGACCCCCGCCGUCUAUGCUUCCCGCCUCCCCGGAGGCAGAUCCCCGAGCCGGCGGCGGCCCCAUUCUUAUUGAAAUUCCACUAAAAGGAUUCCGACUCCGGCAUGGGGCAGGGGGGAGACUUCCAGACCCCAGGUUCUCCCCACCCGCACCCCAGCCACACAAGAUAAAGGGCCGCGGGGCGCGGCGCGCGG
ensembl:lncRNA